AUGCUGCAGGUGUGGCAAAAAAAAAAAAGAAAGAAAGAAAAGAAAAGAAAAAGAAUGUAUUUUAGAGNAAAAAAAAAAGAAAGAAAAGAAAAGAAAAGAAAAAGAAAGUAUUUUAGAAUAAAACCUGGUAAUUGUAAUACUGUUGUUUCUGCUUGUUGUUUAAGAUUUCCCAAGACUCUUGAUGAAAUCUUCUUCAUCCUUUGCAGGCACUGCCCUCUGACCCAAUCAAGUCCCCAAUCAAAAAGUACAGUAUCUGCUAUUGAAAAAUUGCAUCUCAGAAGCGGCGCCUCUUUCUGACAGCAUCUGCCAAGACUUCCGAUGAGGCUGAUGGAAACCUGUUCCAUUUUCAUGUUGUAUAAUAAGUAGAUGGAAGCCUUGCACAUCUGUUCAGGCAAGAUAAUGAUGAUAUUAUUACUAGAAGCCUUGUGCAGCAAAGAGAAUCUAUUUUUUUCUCUUUCCUACCCCCAGCCUGAAUCCAGCCUCUCUUUCUCUUACUUCUCGUGUUUACUUUCUAGCUCACACUCUUCCUCUUCUCUCUUCAUUUCUUUCCUCACCUCAGUGCCCCACCCAGCUUACUGAAACCAAGGUGAUAAAGCCAAGAAUUCUUCUCCUCUCAGAAGGAGGAGCUGCUGAGGAGGUACUGGGGCCAGGGGCUGGCCGAGCUCAGGGGGACAGGGGUCUCUGGGUCUCUCCUCAGAGCCCUGAUGCCUCCUACGGCGAACGACCCUCUUCAGCCCAGUCAGAGGAGCCUCUGGGCUUACCCUGUGCCCAGCCUCAUCAGCAAAGAAUCAAGGGAGACAGCAAUGGGACCAGAUAAUUCCUGCCAAAGAGACAACAGAUAGAAAGGGCUUAAUGUAUUUCACGUCCAGGGAUAGUUUGCAUCAUAACUGGACAUUCUCUGGAUACAUAAUUGAUUCAUGAAGAAUUGACAUUUUUGAGUUGGAAUAUCAUUGCAAAGAAUCAAAGUGUUGGGAUGCAUAUCAGAGUUGGGGGGGAGGCUUCCUUGUUCUUCACAAAUCAUUCGUUCAUUCUUUUUUUUUUUUUUU
rnacentral:lncRNA from 1 species